CACAUGUUUUAUACAGUAAAAAAUCCAUUGAAAUGAAGUCUUUGUACACGUUUUAUGCGUUCCUAUUUCUAAGUGAAUACUCUAUUUUCCAAGAUGUAAACUUUUCCACAUAUGGCUUAACGACUGGUAGUGCCGUUACCUAUACCGAAAUGAGUGAGCAUCCAAUUCGAUCAAUAGCUUCAUUAAGGGUCCGUACAUCCGAGGGUUUUUUUAUUGUGGUGGUUGCAUCGUCGGACUUACGAAGGUGAUCAGUGCGGCACAUUGUUUGAUUAAUGCCAUCGCUGUUGAAGUGCGACUUGGUACAACAGAUCCAACCGAUAAUGAUAAUCUUUACGUUUUCACCAAACAAAAUCUUCGAAUUCAUAAAAAAUAUAAAGUCGGUGGAUUGAAAUAUGAUGUUGGAGCAAUUCUAUUCGAUUAUAAUAUACGUAUGGGUCAAUAUAUCAAUGUAACUGAUAUGGCUGGAUCGCGAUUUUCAGCAGGAACUGGACAUCCAAUUACCUUACUUGGCUACGGUGGAUCAGAAUCAUUAAAAAAAAUUAACACAAACAUCAUGGAUUGAACAACAUGUAAGAAUUCAUACAAAGCCGGAGGAAAUAAAAUAAAAAGUGAUGUGUUUUCUGGAGGUCCAAUAUUUUCAAGAAACACCCAUGAAUGGAUUGGCAUCAUCAAAGGUUUAGUUCCCGGCCGACCUGAUAUUGCCACGAAAGUCUCUAGAUAUCAAGACUUUAUCAAUAAUCCAGCAGGAUCACAUGGACGUUCUGUGUAAACUGUUCAAAGUCACUUUGAGUACUCGUCGUGAAUGAAAUUCCAUUUGUUUAAAAUAACAGAGAUAUUGUGUUGUUAAUUUGAAAUUAAAAAAAA